AUUGCUUCUUGGCCUUUUGGCUAAGAUCAAGUGUAUCUGUUCUUAUCAGCCUAAAAAAAAAGAAGAAAGAGGGAAAAGGGAAAAAAUUCUGUAAGAGCUUAUUAGGACUUCAUGAUCUUGCAUCAGUAUGUACCUAAAAAGCUAUUCAGCACCUAGAUUCAUUUGGGAGGUGGUUAUGUUGUGGGUAGCUGUAA